rnacentral:rRNA from 1 species
AUGGCGGAUGCACCUCUUUACAAGCGGCGUCGCGGGUACACCAGGGAGCUCCACGACGCUGACCUCCACGGAAACCAUAAGCUCCACGUCGUUUGCACAAGCAAGGGUGAAGACGUGGACAAGAUGUUGUCAACGCUCAGGAGGAAGCUCGGCGGAAUGCCCGUCAAACUAGUCGGCGUUGAUGUUGAGUACGCGCACUACGUGAAGCCACAGCCAAUGGAACUAGACAAAUUCCUCAUGAAUGGUGAGUACACCUUCCUCGGAUUCGCCAUUGAAGGAGACAAAAGCAAGGUGAAGCUAUCUGGUUUGGAGAUCAACUCCGACACCUACAUUGAUAUUCAGGUGGAAUGGAGAGACCCAUACAAUAAAAAGAAGUUUGACUCUUUGGCUUAUGUUGCCGGUAGGAUGAUAAACAUUCACUACAAUGACAUGAAGAAGAAAAUUAACCGCAAGGAGGACCAUACUCUGUGGGGAUUCUGCCCACUGCCAGAAAAGCUUAUCAAGUAUGCAGCAACAGAUGCAUUCGCAACAUAUGUGUCAUGGAGAAUCAUC